AAACUAAUAUACCCAUAUUCUGGCUAGGUGAUCAUCAGAAUAUGGGUAUAUAUUAGUUUGG
rnacentral:miRNA from 1 species